ACUCGACGAAUUUUCAUCGACCAGAGCAGACGCACAGCUCGUUACCCGCCUGAACAAAAAGAUGUCUGACGCAGUAGUCGCUACCCCUAAGCCAGCAAAGGCAAAGAAGGCUGCCAAACCAAAGAAGCCAGCUUCUCAUCCUAAAUACUCCGACAUGAUCAAGGCAGCUCUUACGGCCCUGAAAGAGAAGGGAGGAUCCUGAUCCUUCAAACUCGGAGAGAGUGCUGUCAAGAAACCCAAGGCAAAGAAGGCCGCCAAGCCCAAGAAGGCUGCAGCAGUCAAAAAGCCGAAGAAGGCCGUGACAAAGAAACCCGCUGGAGAGAAGAAAGCAGCCAAGCCUAAAGCAAAGAAAGCAAAAUCUCCCAAGAAGGCCAAGGCUGCAGGUGAGAAGAAGCCCAAGAAGGUUGCAAAGUCCCCAGCAAAGGCAAAGAAGGCCCCAGCCAAACCCAAGGCAAAGAAAGCAGCAAAGCCCAAAAAGGCAGCAGCCAAGAAGUAAACUCGUGUAUCUGAGUGAACUAUUUAUUACUGUAAAUAUGUACAGAGACAUACUGUAAUGUGCAAGUAGACAGCAGUUGAUGUGUCAACAGUAUAACUCAUAUUCAUUGGACUUCAGAUGGCAGCAAAUCAUGUUCAUUGUAUGCAAGUUCAUCAUGUGAGAGAUGUGCGAAAGUUUUCAUGUUUCAUUUAUCUCAUGUUCAUUGUUAUUUCAUGUCUGUUAACAGAUUUUUUCAUUUCACUCAAUGAGUGUGUAAUAUAAUCAUGUUUUGUAAAUGUGUAAAACGAACAAAAAAGUCAUAUAAAAAUUUUC
rnacentral:misc_RNA from 1 species